rfam:Mus musculus chromosome 16, GRC primary reference assembly.
AGGUGACAGCUGUAACAUCUGCUGCCCCAUUGAUCAUUAAAGCUGAUUCUACAGAUAUAGCUGGCUAGGCAAGAGUAUUUAUUUUCUCCUUCCCCACUCGAUAUAUGGCCCUUCUAAAGAAUCGUCAUGCUCUGUUGAAGAGGAUGACUUUUCCAGACUAAUAGAGGACGUGUCUUCAGUCAAGGGUACAGGAGCAGCUCAGCUCCCCUAGUAGAAUUUCUAAAAGUACUCGCUAGGUCCAAAUUAUACUUUAAAUCAAUUGGUAUUUAGGGUACUUUGACUUUUCUUCUCUGCAUCCUUGUUCUAUGUAUAGGCAUGAAAU